UUAGUAAGCGGAGGAAAAGAAACUAACAAGGAUUCCCCGAGUAACGGCGAGCGAAAGGGGAGAAGCCCAGCGCUGAAUCCCCCAGUCCUGCAGGGCUGGCGGGAAAUGUAGCGUUUAGGAGGGUCGCUUCUCCCGGAGCGCCGCGGCCAGUCCAAGUCCCUCUUGAACGGGGCCACGGUCCUUAGAAGGUGCCAGGCCUGUGGGAUGGUUGCGGCUUCCGGGAAGGCCUCUCCUUUGAGUCGGGUUGCUUGAGAGUGCAGCCCUAAGCAGGUGGUAAACUCCAUCUAAGGCUAAAUACAACCACGAGACCGAUAGCAAACAAGUACCGUGAGGGAAAGUUGAAAAGAACUUUGAAGAGAGAGUUCAAGAGUACGUGAAACCGUUCGGGGGUAAACGGGUGGAGCCCUAAAGGUCGAAAGAGGAGAUUCAGUAUCCCGUCCGCAUUGCCGCUCUUCGUCUGCGGGUAAAACUCGGGCGCCGCUUCCCUUCGCGGGGGGGCGCGCGUGCCGGGCCCGCGGCGGAGUCUCGCGCGCAGGCGGGGGAGCGCACUUCUCCUCGAGUAGGACGCCGCGACCCGUUGGGUGUCGGUCGAAGGCCCGGUGCGCGAGUCCGUUUUCCGCGGUUCUGCCGCGGUUGCGGAGCUCCGGUGUCCCGGCCGAGUGCCCGACGGUCGAACGCUGAGGAAAAGGCCCGCGUGCUAUCUCGAAGCUCGCGCUCGUGCCCCGCGCAAGCGUGCUGCCGAACCCUGUCGUACGGACUCGUCCGUCGCGGGCCGGCCGGCGCUGUUGGCGCGGGGAUUUCUCGAGCAGUCGGCCUGCUCCCGUUCGCGGCGCUCGAAACUGGGCGGCCCACCCGGCCCGUCUUGAAACACGGACCAAGGAGUCUAACAUGUGCGCAAGUCAUUGGGUACCACUACACCCAAGGGCGUAUUGAACGAAAAGGCCGGCCUCCGCGCCGGCUGAGGGAAGAUGGGGGCUCGCUCGCGGGCCCCCCGCAUUCCCGGGGCGUCUCGUCCUACGUCCGCUCGUCGGUCGAAGGUGAGGCGCACCAAGAGCGCACACGUUGGGACCCGAAAGAUGGUGAACUAUGCCUGGCCAGGACGAAGUCAGGGGAAACCCUGAUGGAGGUCCGUAGCGAUUCUGACGUGCAAAUCGAUCGUCGGAGCUGGGUAUAGGGGCGAAAGACUAAUCGAACCAUCUAGUAGCUGGUUCCCUCCGAAGUUUCCCUCAGGAUAGCUGGCGCUCAUGGAACCGAGUCCCAUCCGGUAAAGCGAAUGAUUAGAGGCCUUGGGGUCGAAACGACCUCAACCUAUUCUCAAACUUUAAAUGGGUGGGAACCGCGGCUUGUUCGAACGUAAAGCCGCGGACCACGGAUCGGAGGGCCCAGUGGGCCACUUUUGGUAAGCAGAACUGGCGCUGUGGGAUGAACCAAACGCCGGGUUAAGGCGCCCGAAUCGACGCUCAUUCGAAACCAUGAAAGGUGUUGGUUGCUUAAGACAGCAGGACGGUGGCCAUGGAAGUCGGAAUCCGCUAAGGAGUGUGUAACAACUCACCUGCCGAAGCAACUAGCCCUGAAAAUGGAUGGCGCUGAAGCGUCGUGCCUAUACCCGGCCGCCGGCGGCAGAGGGCGACCGUCUUCGGGCGGUCGUUGCGAAGCCCCGGUGAGUAGGAGGGUCGCGACGGUGAGCGCAGAAGGGUCUGGGCGUGAGCCUGCCUGGAGCCGCCGUCGGUGCAGAUCUUGGUGGUAGUAGCAAAUACUCCAGCGAGGCCCUGGAGGACUGAUGUGGAGAAGGGUUCCGUGUGAACAGCCGUUGCACACGGGUCAGUCGAUCCUAAGCCCUAGGAGAAAUCCGAUGUUGAUGGUCGCGGGAUGUUCCUGCCUCGCUCUCGCGCCUAGCGAAAUCGAGUAGCGAAAAACGCACGGAUAGAGAGUCCGGGCCACGAAAGAGCGCACAAACUACGACAGAGUGCGGUGGAAGCGCGCGACGUUUGUUCGACGCGGUCGUCGUGCCGAAAGGAGCGAAAGAACUACAAAAAUAAACGAAAGGAGGGAGCGGAGGAGAUGGAGAGACGGAGAGAUCGUGACGUUGUCAUUUUUUGCGAACGAGAGUGUUUCGGUGUUGGUUGUUUUUUCACUUUAUUCGGAGUCGCCCAGAUCCCGCGCAGAACGUUGCGCUUUGGGGGAGAGGGCUCCGUUUUCGAACGAUGUGAAACAGCCCCCGAAAUAACUCUUUCGAACGAAAAUCGCAAAGAACCGUCCGUCUUCUGUUUUUCGUCUUUUUCGUCUCGCCGUCGCAUCGUGGGUAGUAGUAGUAGUUUCCUUUUCGGCCGGCGUCGCGGUUUCGGUUCGAACGUCGUAUUUUAUAUGUAAGCGUUGGUCGCGUCCGCCCUGUCGGUUCGAACUUUGUGUGUGAAGUAGUGCCGCUCUCGUGUGUGCGUUUUUUCGCGAAAGGAGAAUAGCGGCGU
rnacentral:rRNA from 1 species